UCAGAAAGCCACGGCUAACUACGUGCCAGCAGCCGCGGUAACACGUAGGUGGCAAGCGUUAUCCGGAAUUAUUGGGCGUAAAGCGCGCGUAGGCCGGUUUUUUAAAGUCUGAGGUGAAAGCCCACGGCUCAACCGUGGAGGGUCAUUGGAAACUGGAAAACUUGAGUGCAGAAGAGGAAAGUGGAAUUCCAUGUGUAGCGGUGAAAUGCGCAGAGAUAUGGAGGAACACCAGUGGCGAAGGCGACUUUCUGGUCUGUAACUGACGCUGAUGUGCGAAAGCGUGGGGAUCAAACAGGAUUAGAUACCCUGGUAGUCCACGCCGUAAACGAUGAGUGCUAAGUGUUAGGGGGUUUCCGCCCCUUAGUGCUGCAGCUAACGCAUUAAGCACUCCGCCUGGGGAGUACGACCGCAAGGUUGAAACCCAAAGGAAUUGACGGGGACCCGCACAAGCGGUGGAGCAUGUGGUUUAAUUCGAAGCAACGCGAAGAACCUUACCAAAUCUUGACAUCCUUUGACCG
rnacentral:rRNA from 1 species